rnacentral:rRNA from 1 species
UCCUGGCGACUAUAGCGAUUUGGAACCACCUGAUACUAUCUCGAACUCAGAAGUGAAACAUUUCCGCGCCAAUGAUAGUGUGAGGUCUCCUCAUGCGAAAGUAGGUCAUCGCCAGGGUUUUAUUUU